UGGCUCAAAAGGGUAGGGCGCUGGCCCUGUAUGCCAGAGGUGGCUGGUUCAAACCCAGC
rnacentral:tRNA from 1 species